rnacentral:rRNA from 1 species
AUUGAACGCUGGCGGUAGGCCUAACACAUGCAAGUCGAACGGUAACAGGGUGAGGGUUGCUUCUUUGCGGAGGAGAGGGGGAGGGGGGAGUAAUGUAUGUGAAAAUCUAUGAUGGAGGGGGAGAAAAAGUGGAAACGGGAACGAAUAUAGCACAAAGUCGCAACACCAAAGAGCAGGAGCUCCUGGGCUCUUGCCAUAGGGAAUGCCCAGAUGGGAUUAGCUAGUAGGGGGGGUAACGGCGCACCAAGGCAACGAUCCUUAGCUGGUCUGAGAGGAGGAACAGCCACCAUGGAACUGAGAAACGGUCCAGACUCCUACGGGAGGCAGCAGUGGGGAAUAUUGGACAAUGGGCGCAAGCCUGAUGCAGCCAUACCGCGUGUAUGAAGAAGGCCUUCGGGUUGUAAAGUACUUUCAGCGGGAAGGAAGGGCAUCAAGUUAAUACCUCGCCGCACUGACGUUACCCAAAGAAGAAGCACCGGCUAACUUCGUG